GACAGAGGGGGGCAAGCGUUGCUCGGAAUUACUGGGCGUAAAGGGCGCGUAGGCGGGAUGGCAAGUCGGUCGUGAAAUCCCUCGGCUCAACCGAGGAACGUCGAUCGAUACUGCUGUUCUUGAGGAUUGCAGAGGAGACUGGAAUUCCCGGUGUAGCGGUGAAAUGUGUAGAGAUCGGGAGGAACACCGGUGGCGAAGGCGGGUCUCUGGGCAAUUCCUGACGCUGAGGCGCGAAAGCGUGGGUAGCAAACAGG
rnacentral:rRNA from 1 species